rnacentral:piRNA from 1 species
UCCUAGCCUGCCUGCAGGAACCUGG